rnacentral:rRNA from 1 species
CAAUAGCGUAUAUUAAAGUUGUCGCAGUUAAAAGCUCGUAGUUGGAGUUCAGAGUGAGCUCGUCCGGUCGGCCCUAUGGGUCAGAACUGGUUGACUCUCUCUUGUUUGUGGAUCCUGUCAGCAGUUAACUCUGUUGAUGUGGAGUCCACAUCGUUUACCUUGAAAAAUUAGAGUGUUCAAAGCAGGCGUUUGCUUGAAUAUAUUAGCAUGGAAUAAUGGAAUAGGACUCUGGUUCUAUUUUGUUGGUUUUGAGAACCAGAGUAAUGAUUAAUAGGGACAGUUGGGGGGUAUUCGUAUUUCGUUGUCAGAGGUGAAAUUCUUGGAUUUCCGAAAGACGAACUACUGCGAAAGCAUUUACCAAGGAUGUUUUCAUUAAUCAAGAACGAAAGUUAGGGGAUCGAAGAUGAUCAGAU